AUUACCCAAUCCUGACACAGGGAGGUAGUGACAAGAAAUAACAAUACGGGGCUUAAUGUCUUGUAAUUGGAAUGAUGGGAAUUUAAACCUCUUCCAGAGUAUCAAUUGGAGGGCAAGUCUGGUGCCAGCAGCCGCGGUAAUUCCAGCUCCAAUAGCGUAUAUUAAAAUUGUUGCAGUUAAAAAGCUCGUAGUUGAAUUUCUGCUGCAUCGUCGCAUCUCUUGCUGAGUGCUUCGUUUCGGCUUAUUUCGGAUUGAUUUUUUCUUUCCGGAUGAUUACUUUGAGAAAAUUAGAGUGCUCAAAGCAGGCUUUUGCCUUGAAUAGUUUAGCAUGGAAUAAUAAAGUAGGACUUUGGUUCUAUUUUGUUGGUUUUAGGUACCAAAGUAAUGGUUAAUAGGAACAGUUGGGGGCAUUCGUAUUUAA
rnacentral:rRNA from 2 species